UCACCCCAGUUAUAUGAAUUACCUCUCUCCUGGCUUUUUGCACUCUCCCCAGAUUACUGCUGUUGGCCAUGUGCUGGACAAGCUGCAUCCCAGCCUGAACCAACGACUUGAAUUUUAGCCAGCAAGGAAACAAAACACAGGAUUGGUGUCCGAACCGCUGCAACUUCUUAAAAGAUGUGCAGUUGGAAAGAAGGCGUCACAAUGCAAAGAAUUUUUUUCUGGCUCAGCUUUCCAGCGGCUAACUGCAGUAUUACGGGAAUGACACAGCACGCCGCGGGCUCCCUUGAGCAACUUCUGGUGCUGAACAGCGUCACGUAUCUUCUAUGCCCUUUGUUUUGCAUUGGCCAAAGGAAAGAGCGAGCCCUCUAGAGGCAGAAACACAAAGCCUUGGAAGAGCACUCAGCAGCAGGUCUCCACACUGAGACCCUCCUGCCUUUCCUCGAGAUAGGAACAGGUCUGUGUCGCUGAGCAGGACUCUGACCCACAGAUUUAUGCGGAAAAGCCAGGCUGGAUAGGAGAAGAUUACAAGCUAUUUCCUGGAAGUGCUUACUCUACAGCCUAGAAUGUGUGGAAACUCAACAUAGUAACGGGAGAAUGUGGCAAACACAAACUACAAAACUUUUAAGCUGGAGUUAAAAAGUAUUAAAAGGCAUCUGCCAAGACCUUAGGAGCUAACAGGGCGCAAGAGGGAUAGGGAACCGGCAAUUCCAGACUGAUCUGGUAGAGCUGAAGAAUUGAUUUCUGCUUCGCAAAUCCCAGCAAUGUUUCCUAAAGAACCUAGAUGACACCAGUAAGUCCUAGUCAAGGUCAACUGAUCUGCUCUACAAAAAUUGUGUAGUUCUCAUUUGUAAAAAUUGGGCUGUAAUAUAGGCUGAAAUGGAAACAUCUGCCCCAUCAACACUAUUACUUCAAUACUUCCUCCAGCCUGGGAAAUGAGCUGCAGCAGGUUUUUCCGCAAUUGACUGCAGAGAAACAUGUAUUAAAUGGGAAUGGUUAAAAGGGACAUCAUUAUUAUUGCUUGGUCAAACAACUGGUAGGGAUAAUGCUUCUGUGUCACGAGAUGUAUAUUUAGAUGCAUCGAAUCUCAAAUGGCAUCCAAGUUUAACUUAAUAUAGCUUUAAAUCAAAGUUUUAUAUUCAUUUUCAUGGGCUCAUUGGUUGUUUUGUAUUCAAAUUCAAACCAGCAGUGGAGAACUGUGGAAAAUGGUAUUCCAGAGCAGAAGGGUGGCUAUGAGCUCUACUUUGAAGACAUGAUCUAUUGGAGAUACUACUUCUCUGAGACUAUUACAAAGUGCAUUUUCACAGGCAUUCUUACUAAGAAAAUAAUUUAAAAAAAUAGAAACCCAACAUUUAGAACCAUGAAAUGGAAGGUGUUUUCAGGAGAUCUAAGGUUUGAUCUGAAGUAUGUUCAAGCAUGCCCACAGCACUUCAAACAGAAUCUACUUGAUACUUAUUUUUGUAUUUCAAGAAGUACCUUAUCUGCUUUCCUCUGAUACAGCAUCCUGGUCUCUUACUAGACUUCAUUUUCCUUCUUGACUAAGAUAAAUACAAUUGCAUUUAGGCAAACUGCCUAAAAGGCUGCAUACUUCAGAUUCCCACGAGUUGUUUCAGAUUAGCAAGUGUUAUCACUGUCCUGCUGUCCUUACAUCUUCCUUUCCUGAGAAAAUGAAAACCAGCACUUCAGAAACCGUAACAGAUUAUUUAGCUCCAAGCUAUUCUUAUAUUUUGAAAGUUAUCUCCCUACUGUAGUAAGUUAAUCCUACAUGCUUCCAGAUUAUUUCUUUAAUGAGUAGACAAGUAAACAACAAAUUGUUACUAUCUCUUCUGAAACAGGGAUUUUCUGAUCAUUAUCCCAUUACUGUAGGACAUUAGGUAGUAGGCCAAACUUACCUUGCACUAUUACUGUUGUUAGCUGCUAAGAAAAACAAAAGAAAACUUAGAUCAACAAAUUAAAGGUACACAGGUGAUUUCUAUGAUGGCUUUAUUAGCCUCAUGUUUUCAAGUAAGCAUCCUCUGUGAUCCUAAGGGUUAUUUCCUUCUAGUACUUCUGCUAGUCUCUCCUGUAAAGACCCCAUGGAAGAAAGGACUUGGUGAUGGUCACCAGUAUGACAGGAGUACCCCCCAAAGAUGAUGCAAUAUGACCAUUGUGCAUCGAGCUACUUGAAGGAUAAAAAUGAAAAAAAUACAUUGAAGAAAAUAAACAAAUGACACUUGAAAUCAGUAUGCUUUAUUAAUACUUCAGAAACAUCAAAUCCUACAGCAGAGUUCUUCUCCUCGCUUGUUUCCAGUCACUGCUUUGAAGCAAUUUCUUGAAAUAUGCAAGUAGAUACAUGAGGCACUGUGUGAAUACAAAAGUGACAAUACAAAAAAAACCCCAACAAUUAAACCUCAUGCAAUACAUACAUACAAAUAUAUAUAUAUAUAUAAAAUAUGGUAAUGUAGCAUAAUACACACAAGCGCUAAUAGAACAAUUCAUAUAAACAAACAUACAAUAUGCACAGCAUGUAAUGAUCAAUGACAACAGGUUUCUGACCUAUGUGCAGAACCAGUCAGUUUAAAUAAAGAGUUUUAAGAUACUAGAAACUGGUUAAGCCACAGCUUAUAAAAUCUGCUGUGCUGCAGCUUUUCUGCUCUGUGUCACAAGUGCAGAUUAAUAUACAAAAUAAAUAAAGACUACAGCUCUACAACACUUGCUUAACAGCUCCUACUUCAAAGUCACUGGCCAUUUCACUUUCAUUCAAGGUUCAUUAGCCAACACAGUGGCAAGAAAUGUGCCUAAAGCAACCGUUCUGCUCUUGGACUAUUUUAAUACUGAUAAGGACAUGUUUUUGUGUCAGCAGGAAUAGUUACAGAAGUCCAAUUUCUAAAUAAGCAAAGGAUUGAAGCUAUAAUAGAGCAGAUGUUGAGGAGGUACUCUGACAGAGCUGUUGGUUAGCCACGUGCCAUGCUGCAGUUACCAGCUCAACCAACUAGGGCAGGAAACAGAGAGUACUGAAGCAGUGGAGAAACUCAGAAGCCUCCUCUAAACACAGUGCAAAGCGUGAAAACACCAACAGUCUGUAGGAACAGAAACCAGAGACUAGAAAGUCUCUCAAGCCCUAUAUCUGGGACAAGAGCUACUCUUACCUGAAAAAAAGCUCAAGUAUUCCUAGAAAAUAGCAUGCAAAUAGGAGGAUUUUCUUCUUAACCAGCCAGUAUUGGGCAAUGCCAAAAGUACAAGUUGUUCUAAUCUCAUACCUUCCUAGCUGACAUGGUACCUUCUAUACUCUUGGUGUUGCAGGCCUCCAAAGAUCAGACCACAUUCACUAUAACACAGAUGAAAUUAAAAUUAUAAAAAGGCAAUCAAAUUGAUUUAACAGCCAAUAUUAUUUAUCGAUGAAGCAGCAGUUUUCUGGGAGGGGAACAAAGCAGUGGAGGGCAGGGGGAGGGCUGACAGUGGAAGAGAUUAUAAGAGGUAGAAGAAAAGGAAAACUGGGAAGAAGGAAGAUAGCAGGACUGGCUUUCAGAAGAGGAAGUAAGAAAUGCAAUAUCCUUUUUUGUCAGUGUAAAGUUUUAACCCACAACAAAAUAAACAUCUGCCUAUUACUAAACAGGAUGUUCCUUCAAACACACUGAAAGUGUGAAAAAAA